UACGAAGGGUGCAAGCGUUAAUCGGAAUUACUGGGCGUAAAGCGUGCGCAGGCGGUUUGUUAAGUCUGCUGUGAAAUCCCCGAGCUCAACUUGGGAAUUGCAGUGGAUACUGGCAAGCUAGAGUAUGGUAGAGGAAGGUGGAAUUCCCGGUGUAGCAGUGAAAUGCGUAGAGAUCGGGAGGAACACCAGUGGCGAAGGCGGCCUUCUGGACCAAUACUGACGCUCAUGCACGAAAGCGUGGGGAGCAAACAGG
rnacentral:rRNA from 1 species